GUAGAGUUGAUACCCAAGCUCUAGCAGCACCAGGAGUUUCAGCACAGAGGAAGUAAUCUUGUUUCUGGGGGGUACCAAUAUCUAUUGAGAACAGUUAAGAAGCAUAAAAACCAUGGUGCUCAAAAGGCCAGAAUAUAAAUAUCUG